CAUUCUUCAUUCUGUCUUUGAUGGAAAACCUUUUUAGGUGCUCUCCUGCCUCCGGGAUGGCCUGUCUACAGGACCUUGCAUACAAUGGGCACUCAAUCAAAUGCUAUUAAAAUAGCAUCGAACUGUGUGAGAAUGCAGCCAGCCUCCAUCGAUUAACAUAGCGGAAGGAGGACGAUUUUCCCAAAUACCGAAAGAGUUACGGAAAAUGAAAGCAUCUACCUCCUUGUUAAUUAAAGAUAAGAAAUUGAAUAUUUCUUAAAACGGGACUGUGAGAUUGCCCACAUUUAUCUUCCAAAUGUGCCUUCUCCACCUCAAAGCCCUGUAGGCCAUCUGGAAUUCUCUCCUGUGCCUUUAAAUCUAGCACAGGGCCCGCAGCUCAGCCGGGGGCCUCGGUUCCUUGUCCUGUGACAUCAGCCCAGCCGUGUCUUAGGAGACAAUUAACCUAAGGAAAAGUUUCUGUGUGGGGAACACGUACCUCCGCCCACUGGAUUAACCGCGUGGAGCUGAACUUGCCAGGACGAGAAGCAUUGGGUUUCAAACGCGGUAACAAAGACAGAAACCAAUUCGCACGUCAGCGAAGACAAAGCCAGAUGCUUUCGCAAAUCAAACCCUGCAGACAGGAGUAAGUUUUCUCUUGGGGAUGCAUUUUAUGCGCUGUUAUAUUACCUUCUACAUCACGACUGACGUCUCGGGGUUCCAUAGAUCAGGUAACCCAGGACUCGCUCUGCCAGGGUAGGACGAAGGCGGCCCGUCAAAUGCAAUUCCAACAUUUAGUGAACUUAGCUCCGGCUCCAACUGGAGUCUGAAGUCCCAGAGGCAAGAAUUGUCUGCACUUUGUACCUACAGCGGUCGCUACAGGGCCAGGUAGAUCGCAGGUGCGGAAAGAAAUAGUUGUGACAUCGUCGAUGAUGCAUAGACGAACAAACGGAGGAGGCUGGCCGAGCAAUUCGCUACCAGAGCUUCUGUCCGCGAGAAACGCAAGCUAGUGCCGAGGUCGCACCCUGAGGUGUCUACAGGGCCCGGAAGGAUCCUGACCGACCCUGGUGCCGCCCUGUAUGGCCCCGUGUGACGUGAUUGCCCCUUCUCUUGGAAUUUUCUACUGAAAGCCAUGGCUUGUUAAGAAAAGUCAUCCAAGUAUGAAGCAGAGAAGGGAGAACAGCUUUCAGACAGGGAUGGACUAACCGCGACCCCAGGGCCAAUUCUGGCCCUCCAUCUGUUUUUAUCAAUAAAGCUUUAUUGGAACAGAGCCAUGCUCGUUCGCUUCUGUACUGUCUCGGGCUACAGCGCAGAGCUGAACACCUACAACUGUCUGGCCCACCAAGUCUAAAAUAUUUAUUCUCCGGCAGUUUCCAGAACACCUUGGCUGAUCUCUGCUGCAGACUUAUGCCCCUCAGUCUGGAACAUUAGCGGGGGGCAGAGGGGAAGAGUCAAGCAGACGUGGCUCCGACUCCCAUUGACUCUGUCGCCCCCCUGGGGGUUUCCCUGACCCUCCCCAAACCUCCAUUUCAUUUACAAAAUGGGAACAAUACCGUCAACCUCACAGAACCCCGAUGAGAAUUACCUGAAGUAAGUGCUUAAAAAGGACACAGCAUAGUUCUGGAUGGAGAAGAUAAAAUAAUCAUAGUAAAAUAAAUGGCUUCGUAAUAACGACAAGGGUCACCGUCAUCAUUACCAGCUGUCACCUCCUGUGCCAAAGGGAACCUCAAAUAGAAUGUUUUCCAGGAUGACUCUCCAGGGAAGCCCGUCAGAUGGGAGAAAAUGCUGCUAGAGGGUUCUGUAGGAAAAACUUCUCCCCAGGUCCCAUGCCCUCUUUCCCCACCUCUGCUGGGGAAUCCUUAUCUUACCUUAUACGUGCUAGCAGCAGUAUCUGCCAUUACGAAGCACACCCAAUACUUGGGUGUAGACGUGCAGUGUUUGCCUGAAGUCAAGUUUACGGGCAGCGUCCGUUUGGGCGUUAUCCAGUUAGGGCCUCAGCAAGAAGUAGGCGUGCACAUUGUGUUACCGUGGGUUCUCCAGAGAAACAGAGCCGAUAGGAGAUGAACGUCUAUAUAUAUCAAUCUACAUACAUACAUACAUAUGUACCUACCUACCUACCUAUCUAUCUGUCUAUCUACCUUUCUCUCUCCUACCUACCUAUCCUAUCCAUCUAUGUAUCUAUCAUCUAUCUCUCUCAGAAGUUGGUUCACACAGUUGUGGAGGACUUGAGAAGUCCUCAGAUCUGUAAGCUGUAGACCCAAAGUUUCUGAUGAUUGGAAAAAUUCCUUAUUUUGGGGAUAUUAAAAUAAUGUUGUAGAGGCGUAGCUAUGGACAUUCUUUAUAAUACAAUACAAUACAAUAUAAUAUAAUAUAAUAUAAUAUAAUUAGGCUGCUUGUGGCCAAUGGAACCAUUGAAGGCGAUAACACAGAGCGGUGCAAGGGGCAAAUGUUGGCUCUACUCCAAUGGCUCUGGUGGUGGGGGCCACUCGGGGUGCUCUAUGGGAAGAGUCCUGCGGAACCUUCUGGGAACCUCAGCGGCAUGGAGCGUGGGCAGGCCGCGGUUCUCCACAGCUGCCGACACAGACAGUGACCCUUUCUCCAACGUGAUAAGUUCUUCUUUCCUUCCAGCUCGAAGACCUACUUUUUCCAGGUGGAUUCUAUGUUCUAGUGGUUGUUUCUUUCUCCGCGAUCUGAUGCUAUCUUACGCAAACCAGGUAUUCCACAAAACAUUUGCUAAACGAAUCCAUGAUCGUGAAUCCCUGUAUGUAUCUAUCAUCACCUGAAAUUUUUUGUUAAAAGCCAAAGAUACGUAUUUAUUUUCUACCUCAGUGGUACAAUGAAAGGAUAUCAAAUAUUUUAAAAACGCUUUCGAGUGUUUCGGAGGAAACACAUGUACCAUUUACAUGGAGUUGUUAUUACUUCCGUUCCUGGGGGUGGGGCUAUUCUGGCAAGCCUCAGGUCCCCAGCAUCAGUUUCCUGUUUGCACACUGGUAUUUUCUAGAAUCUUCCCUGUAUUUCCCCCUCUUCUUCUGCCAUAUUUCAUGAGCUCUCCUUCAUAUCCACCUCAUGAGUUGCCUUUGAUCAGAGACUGAGGACUCCCCUGACGUAUUUAAUUUCAAGUUGCGGCUGUCCGUUCUGGGAGGUGCGGUAGAAACUUUGCGGUGUAGACAUCACGCUGUAUUCUCUUUCCUCAGGGGAAGCUCUUGAAUCUACCAAAUUUCAACUCUCGUCAAGGCUGGUUCAUAGCCGUAAGAAUGGAUUGGAGACUCGCAGACAGCAGAGACCACAGCCUCUCUAUUAGUGAGCGUGGGGUAAAAUGUGUAAUCCAUUAUCAAUAAAUAUCUGUUGCUUGGUGCUGUGGACUGAGUAGCAGCCCCCCACCCCCAAUUCAUAUGGUGAAGUCCUAACCCCGCCCUGUGACUGUGUGUGGGGAUAGGGCUUUCCUCGAGAGGUGAUUAAGGUUCAGUGAUGUCACAGGGUGGGGGCCUGACUUGGUGGGAUUAGUGUCCUCAUAAGAAGAGGGAGAAGUUCCCGGGAUCUCUCUGUCUUUGCACAGAGAAGAUGCACCAGAAGGCAGCUGUCCACAAGCCAACAAGAGACAUCUCACCAGACACCAGCCAUGCUGGGACCCUCAUCUCCGGUUUCUGGUCUCCGGAUCUGUGAGAAAAUAAAUGUCUGCUGUGGAAGACACAGUGACAUCAUCAGUGACAUCUUGUUGUGGCAGUCCAAGCAGAAGUCAUAGAAUUGCUUCAUCGGUGCGUUGCCAAAUAAGUAUUUUAGGCUAAUUGUGACGAAAAUUAUUCUAAAUGCAAUGGGAGGUUGAGUUGGUCUUUCAGAAGAAAGCUAUAACAUCCCAAAGGCUUCAACAGUGGACAGAUUUGGCCAAACUUCACAUACAGUGAAAGGUAAAAUGAAAUUAUUUAGAGAUUUGGAAAAUUUGGAGGAAAAGGUCAUCUAAGAGAUAGCUUAGACAAGGAAUGUAGAAAAAGAGUGAAUACUAACUAAAAGGCAAAUGAUUUAUAUACAUGUGAAGAUACGUUCAGCCUCACUAAUAAAGGUACACAAAUAACACAAGAUAAUAUGGAGGGAUAUUUUUAAAUAGACUUUAUAAUUUUAUGAUAAUUUUAUGGAAAAAUUGAAAGGAUAAUGCAUAGUUCUCAUAUAUCCUAUCUCCAGUUUCCUCUGUUAUUAAUAUAUUACAACGGUGUAGCACAUUUGUUGCAAUUAAUGGACCAGUGGUGAUAAAUCAUUAUCAACUAACGUCCAUUGUUUAUUCAGAAUAUAUAUAUUUUAAUGUGGAUGAUUCACAAACUUUAAAAAGUUGAUAAUCUCCAAUAUCAGUGGAAUACAGUCUGUCACACAUGGUUGAUGAUUGUUAAUUGAUAUAAAUUCCUUGGAGAGCAAUUCGACAAGAUCUGUUAAAAAUUAAAUGUGCCUGGGGCGCCUGGGUGGCUCAGUCCGUCGAGCAUCUGACUUCAGCUCAGGUCAUGAUC